UUCUCACGUCGCACUGUGGCUUUCGCCUGUGAUGGUUUAGAAAGGGGAGGACGCAGGAGGAUGCUGGCACAGCAGAGGAAAAAGGACAGUGCCAGAGAUCCAGGGCUGCAGGCAGCCAUUACGCUCCAUAAUUCUACAAAACUGCCCUGGUGGAUUAACACCGAGUAGAGCCUGGAUCAGUAACAAUACUGGGCACUAGGGGACUCCCGAGAGCAUCAGUCGACGCUAACUCUUUGCUUUCAAAGCCCCCACAAAUGGGUUCAUUCUCCCUCUCUCGCUCACGCUAGCUUGGGACGUCCCUCUUUCUUCUGUCACUGCACAUCAAGCCCCAUAACAGCCUCCCCCAAGAGGAGUUUACUCACUGCAUUACUGGACUCCUUAGAUUCCUGUCCGGGGUGCCCAAUGCCUCUCCCUUGAUUUACCCGUGAAAAAUCACCUUUUAUUGUCUUGCAUGCACCUUCUUUCACAAUUUACUUCCUGGGGACUCUAUUAGCAUAUGAAUUGGGACAGAUUAACGUUGAUACUGCAUCUUUCUGCACAACAGGUGCAAAAUGAGAGAGAAUUAUCUUGCUGGUCACGGUGCACUUUCUCCACCCUGCUGAGGAGGAGCCGAGGAAUGGGAGUGAAAGAGGCUCUGUCUGCCUGGUAGGCAUGAUAUCAGAGUGCCAGAUGAGCAGGGCGUCCAACUCUGGAAAACACGCAUGAUCUUGUGUUUGGGUUGCCUCCCUUUUCCACAGCUACUAUUUGAUCCUAAAUCAAGGCUGGAAAGACAAUGUGCCGGGCCAUGGGAUGAAGACAAGUCAAAUCACAUGAACAUGUAUUUUUCGUUUUUUGGUGAGCUCCCAUUCGAGAUCCUACAAAUUCACCUACAUCGGUGCCCAGAUUUAUAAUCAAGGAACAGCUACUGAAUGUCUCUGAAGGCACAUCUACGCAGCAGUGUUAUUUCAAAAUAACGAGGGCUGUGAAAACUAGAUGAAUCAACGAAUCGAAUAGUCGAUGGAAUUUCCAGCGAAUAUUCGAUUAGUCGAUAUGGGUGCUUCUGCUGUUGCUACUUUUCAAAGGAGGAAGUGCUGCGGGGUGUUCCGCCUUCGAGAUGUACAAGAGCCCCAGCAGGAUUGAAACGCUGCAUGGAGCCUGGGGCCAGUGGGAGACUCUGAGUAUGUCCACUCUGAAAUGUACAAGAGCUACCAUCAGCUUCUGGAGGGAUGCAUCUGGCACCAUUGGAAGGUAGAGCCGGGGGAGCAGGUGGCGGCUAAGCAGGAAGCUGGUGGUAACCGAGCAGGAAGCUGAUGGUGGGUGAGCACUGGAGUUUCUGAUAGAGGCAGCAGCGGGGGGAGCGGCUAGUCGACUAGUGUGUUGACUAUCUAAGAAGCUUUUGCUGUCGCUUAGUCACUUACAUCCUCCCUCCCCUUCUUCUCCAGUGGGCAGGGAUAGAAUUCCUCUCCCUGCGGGAUGCCACCACUGCCAGACCCAGCACGUGCACGGCAUGGAGGAAAGCCGAGCUGCUCCAUCGUCCCCCCACCCGCAAGCUCCUGGCCCGGCUGGCACCUUCUCAUGCCUGCU